rnacentral:rRNA from 1 species
CAAGCGUUAUCCGGAUUCACUGGGUUUAAAGGGUGCGUAGGCGGGCAUUUAAGUCAGUGGUGAAAUACCUGAGCUUAACUUGGGAACUGCCAUUGAUACUAUUUGUCUUGAAUGUCGUGGAGGUUAGCGGAAUAUGUCAUGUAGCGGUGAAAUGCUUAGAUAUGACAUAGAACACCUAUUGCGAAGGCAGCUAACUACGCGAAUAUUGACGCUGAGGCACGAAAGCGUGGGGAUCAAACAGG